ACGACGAAGACAUUAUUUAUUACUUUUCUGCGGUGUCUUGUACUUAGCUAAAAACAUACGCAUAGAAUAGAUACCUAAACAUUCCAUCCUGAUUUUCACAAACUCAACAUCGACUUCAAACAUCUCUAUGGCCAAUCGGUCAUCCGCUAAACCCAUUCCAUCGAUCACUCUAAGUAAAAUUACUAACUCCUGCAACAUCCGGAAAUCAACCGACAUUGAUAUACAGUACGUUCAUGCUAAAAUGUACCACUAAAUAUUUCAGUCGGAUGACAUUAUAUUGAAAUGGA